AAACAAAUAUGUAAACUUGAUCAUUCAGAUUUAAACAGUAUUUGAUUUUUGACAGCAAGGAGAUCGGGUUUAACUGGUUAAGUAACUCUUUCUGUGCUGCAGCUCUGGGGUUCCCGACGCUGCUGGUUCCCUGGGUGGUUCUACAGGAGCUGGACUCGUUAAAAAGCAGGAAACUGUCAAAGGCCAGCUGUGGACUACAUCUACACCUCCCUGAAGAACCAGGAGCCGCGUCUCUGGAGCCAGUCCAUACAGCAAGUGUCUCACGCUGCCUGCAGGCUGAACGUGGAGGAUAAUGACGAUCUGGUGCUGCAGUGCUGUCUCCAGUACAAGACGUUGUAUCCAGAGGGCACUAUCAUGCUGUGCACG